CAUCCAAGCAGAUGCGAAUAGCCUACAAUAUCAGUACUCAAACCACCAGUAGCAGGCUUAGGACUAGAGUUUGCCAGUCAGACCACUACACCUUUGCCAGCACCACCACCCAGCAAGAUUCAUCAACUCCAGCCAUGCCGAGUUUACCAAUCAGACCUACACCUCUGUCAAAUUCGCUCACAACGCUGCCAGUAACACCCCAGCAAGGUAGAACUGCAUUUUCAUUAAUCUGGCACCAAUAUCAAGGGAGAAACAAGCCAUGAAUGUCUGUCACAACUUCUUUGCAUCUUUACUUUCCUUACAUCUGAAGAGUGUUACAUAUAUCAUUAUUAAAAAUAAUUUUAAUAAAUUGU